rnacentral:rRNA from 1 species
UUUGCGUCGAAGGUAUACCGGUAAGGAGUGCUGGAGCGAAUAGAAGUGAGCAUGCAGGCAUGAGUAGCGAUAAUUAAUGUGAGAAUCAUUAACGCCGUAAACCCAAGGUUUCCUACGCGAUGCUCGUCAUCGUAGGGUUAGUCGGGUCCUAAGUCGAGUCCGAAAGGGGUAGACGAUGGCAAAUUGGUUAAUAUUCCAAUACCAACAUUAGUGUGCGAUGGAAGGACGCUUAGGGCUAAGGGGGCUAGCGGAUGGAAGUGCUAGUCUAAGGUCGUAGGAGGUUAUACAGGCAAAUCCGUAUAACAAUACUCCGAGAACUGAAAGGCUUUUUGAAGUCUUCGGAUGGAUAGAAGAACCCCUGAUGCCAUCGAGCCAAGAAAAGUUUCUAAGUUUAGCUAAUGUUGCCCGUACCGUAAACCGACACAGGUGGGUGGGAUGAGUAUUCUAAGGCGCGUGGAAGAACUCUCUUUAAGGAACUCUGCAAAAUAGCACCGUAUCUUCGGUAUAAGGUGUGGUUAGCUUUGUAUUAGGAUUUACUCCGAAAGCAAGGAAACUUACAACAAAGAGUCCCUCCCGACUGUUUACCAAAAACACAGCACUCUGCUAACUCGUAAGAGGAUGUAUAGGGUGUGACGCCUGCCCGGUGCUCGAAGGUUAAUUGAUGGGGUUAGCAUUAGCGAAGCUCUUGAUCGAAGCCCGAGUAAACGGCGGCCGUAACUAUAACGGUCCUAAGGUAGCGAAAUUCCUUGUCGGUUAAAUACCGACCUGCAUGAAUGGCGUAACGAGAUGGGAGCUGUCUCAAAGAGGGAUCCAGUGAAAUUGUAGUGGAGGUGAAAAUUCCUCCUACCCGCGGCAAGACGGAAAGACCCCGUGGACCUUUACUACAGCUUGACACUGCUACUUGGAUAAGAAUGUGCAGGAUAGGUGGGAGGCUUUGAGUAUAUGACGCCAGUUGUAUAUGAGCCAUUGUUGAGAUACCACUCUUUCUUAUUUGGGUAGCUAACCAGCUUGAGUUAUCCUCAAGUGGGACAAUGUCUGGUGGGUAGUUUGACUGGGGCGGUCGCCUCCCAAAUAAUAACGGAGGCUUACAAAGGUUGGCUCAGAACGGUUGGAAAUCGUUCGUAGAGUAUAAAGGUAUAAGCCAGCUUAACUGCAAGACAUACAAGUCAAGCAGAGACGAAAGUCGGUCUUAGUGAUCCGGUGGUUCUGUGUGGAAGGGCCAUCGCUCAAAGGAUAAAAGGUACCCCGGGGAUAACAGGCUGAUCUCCCCCAAGAGCUCACAUCGACGGGGAGGUUUGGCACCUCGAUGUCGGCUCAUCGCAUCCUGGGGCUGGAGCAGGUCCCAAGGGUAUGGCUGUUCGCCAUUUAAAGCGGUACGCGAGCUGGGUUCAGAACGUCGUGAGACAGUUCGGUCCCUAUCUGCCGUGGGCGUAAGAAGAUUGAAGAGAUUUGACCCUAGUACGAGAGGACCGGGUUGAACAAACCACUGGUGUAGCUGUUGUUCUGCCAAGAGCAUCGCAGCGUAGCUAAGUUUGGAAAGGAUAAACGCUGAAAGCAUCUAAGCGUGAAGCCAACUCUAAGAUGAAUCUUCUCUAAGCUCUCUAGAAGACUACUAGUUUGAUAGGCUGGGUGUGUAAUGGAUGAAAGUCCUUUAGCUGACCAGUACUAAUAGAGCGUUUGGCUUAUCUUU